CAGCAGCCGCCGCGGUAAUACAGAGGGUGCAAGCGUUAAUCGGAAUUACUGGGCGUAAAGCGCGCGUAGGUGGUUUGUUAAGUUGGAUGUGAAAUCCCCGGGCUCAACCUGGGAACUGCAUUCAAAACUGACUGACUAGAGUAUGGUAGAGGGUGGUGGAAUUUCCUGUGUAGCGGUGAAAUGCGUAGAUAUAGGAAGGAACACCAGUGGCGAAGGCGACCACCUGGACUAAUACUGACACUGAGGUGCGAAAGCGUGGGGAGCAAACAGGAUUAGAUACCCGAGUAGUCCCUGUCUCUUAUAC
rnacentral:rRNA from 1 species